GACGAACGCUGGCGGCGUGCUUAACACAUGCAAGUCGAACGGAAAGGCCCUGCUUUUGUGGGGUGCUCGAGUGGCGAACGGGUGAGUAACACGUGAGUAACCUGCCCUUGACUUUGGGAUAACUUCAGGAAACUGGGGCUAAUACCGGAUAGGAGCUCCUGCUGCAUUGUGGGGGUUGGAACGUUUCGGCGGUUGGGGAUGGACUCGCGGCUUAUCAGCUUGUUGGUGGGGUAGUGGCUUACCAAGGCUUUGACGGGUAGCCGGCCUGAGAGGGUGACCGGCCACAUUGGGACUGAGAUACGGCCCAGACUCCUACGGGAGGCAGCAGUGGGGAAUAUUGCACAAUGGGCGGAAGCCUGAUGCAGCAACGCCGCGUGCGGGAUGACGGCCUUCGGGUUGUAAACCGCUUUCGCCUGUGACGAAGCGUGAGUGACGGUAAUGGGUAAAGAAGCACCGGCUAACUACGUG
rnacentral:rRNA from 1 species